rnacentral:rRNA from 1 species
ACUCCUACGGGAGGCAGCAGUGGGGAAUAUUGCACAAUGGGCGCAAGCCUGAUGCAGCCAUGCCGCGUGUAUGAAGAAGGCCUUCGGGUUGUAAAGUACUUUCAGCAGUGAGGAAGGUGGAUAUGUUAAUAGCAUAUUCUAUUUGUACGUUAGCUGCAGAAGAAGCACCGGCUAACUCCGUGCCAGCAGCCGCGGUAAUACGGAGGGUGCGAGCGUUAAUCGGAAUUACGUGGCGUAAAGCGCAUGCAGGUGGUUUGUUAAGUCAGAUGUGAAAGCCCGGGGCUCAACCUCGGAAUUGCAUUUGAAACUGGCAAACUAGAGUACUGUAGAGGGGGUUAGAAUUUCAGGUGUAGCGGUGAAAUGCGUAGAGAUCUGAAGGAAUACCGGUGGCGAACGGCGGCCCCCGUGGACAGAUACUGACACUCAGAUGCGAAAGCGUGGGAGCAAACAGGAUUAGAUACCCCUGGUAGGUCAGUC